rnacentral:rRNA from 1 species
GGCAUGCUUACCAUGCAGUCGAACGAUGAUCUCCCGCUUGCGGGGGUGAUUAGUGGCGAACGGGUGAGUAAUACGUGAGUAACCUGCCCUUGACUCUGGGAUAAGCCUGGGAAACCGGGUCUAAUACUGGAUACGACUCCUCAUCGCAUGGUGGGGGGUGGAAAGGGUUUGACUGGUUUUGGAUGGGCUCACGGCCUAUCAGCUUGUUGGUGGGGUAAUGGCUCACCAAGGCGACGACGGGUAGCCGGCCUGAGAGGGUGACCGGCCACACUGGGACUGAGACACGGCCCAGACUCCUACGGGAGGCAGCAGUGGGGAAUAUUGCACAAUGGGCGCAAGCCUGAUGCAGCGACGCCGCGUGAGGGAUGACGGCCUUCGGGUUGUAAACCUCUUUCAGCAGGGAAGAAGCCACAAGUGACGGUACCUGCAGAAGAAGCGCCGGCUAACUACGUGCCAGCAGCCGCGGUAAUACGUAGGGCGCAAGCGUUGUCCGGAAUUAUUGGGCGUAAAGAGCUCGUAGGCGGUUUGUCGCGUCUGCUGUGAAAGCCCGGGGCUCAACCCCGGGUCUGCAGUGGGUACGGGCAGACUAGAGUGCAGUAGGGGAGACUGGAAUUCCUGGUGUAGCGGUGAAAUGCGCAGAUAUCAGGAGGAACACCGAUGGCGAAGGCAGGUCUCUGGGCUGUUACUGACGCUGAGGAGCGAAAGCAUGGGGAGCGAACAGGAUUAGAUACCCUGGUAGUCCAUGCCGUAAACGUUGGGCACUAGGUGUGGGGGACAUUCCACGUUCUCCGCGCCGUAGCUAACGCAUUAAGUGCCCCGCCUGGGGAGUACGGCCGCAAGGCUAAAACUCAAAGGAAUUGACGGGGGCCCGCACAAGCGGCGGAGCAUGCGGAUUAAUUCGAUGCAACGCGAAGAACCUUACCAAGGCUUGACAUUCACCGGACCGCCUCAGAGAUGGGGUUUCCCUUCGGGGUCGGUGGACAGGUGGUGCAUGGGUUGUCGUCAGCUCGUGUCGUGAGAUGUUGGGUUAAGUCCCGCAACG